rnacentral:rRNA from 1 species
AUUGAACGCUGGCGGCAUGCCUUACACAUGCAAGUCGAACGGCAGCACGGGAGCAAUCCUGGUGGCGAGUGGCGAACGGGUGAGUAAUGUAUCGGAACGUACCUUUCAGUGGGGGAGUAACGUAGCGAAAGUUACGCUAAUACCGCAUAUUCUGUGAGCAGGAAAGACAGGGGAGUCGCAAGACCUUGCGCUGAUUGAGCGGCCGAUAUCAGAUUAGCUAGUUGGUGAGGUAAAGGCUCACCAAGGCGACGAUCCGUAGCUGGUCUGAGAGGACGACCAGCCACACUGGGACUGAGACACGGACCCGACUCCUACGGGAGGCAGCAGUAAGGAAUAUUGGACAAUGGUCGCAAGACUGAUCCAGCCAUGCCGCGUGCAGGAUGAACGAUCUAUGAUCUGU